rnacentral:rRNA from 1 species
UACGUAGGGCGCAAGCGUUAUCCGGAAUUAUUGGGCGUAAAGAGCUCGUAGGCGGUCUGUUGCGUCGGCUGUGAAAACCCGGGGCUCAACUCCGGGCCUGCAGCCGAUACGGGCAGACUAGAGUUCGGCAGGGGAGACUGGAAUUCCUGGUGUAGCGGUGAAAUGCGCAGAUAUCAGGAGGAACACCGUUGGCGAAGGCGGGUCUCUGGGCAUUAACUGACGCUGAGGAGCGAAAGCAUGGGGAGCGAACAGG